GGGCUCCUCCCGCCUUCUCCAGGCGCUGCUCCCACUUCAGGCGGCCCCUGCCAGCUGCAACAGACAAAUCGCCGAGGCGGGGGAGACGUUCAGGGCACCGGGAUGCUGAAGCCUUGGGGUCCCCAUUCCCGAGCCCAGCCCGAGCGCCGCCUGAGCGUGGCGCAGUUACUUUGGCUUCCCAGGUACAGAAAGGUAAGGGAGUUGUUUGGACCGGGAAGAGGAUCUAAGCAGAGGAAUCAUGGCUCAGGAGAAGCAUGGCUGUUGGAGAUCCAGGAAGCUCCCACAGUAUUCUGGACUGUUCUUCACCCUCUGAGGAAUCUGGAAACUCUGCCCACUUUCCCUACACUCCAGCAGCAUGCUGGAAUAUGAAAUCAAGACUAAUCAUCCUGAUACAGCAGGCAAGCUGUCACCACCAAGUAAAGAAGAGAAAACUGCG